rnacentral:rRNA from 1 species
UACAGAGGGGGCAAGCGUUAUUCGGAAUUAUUGGGCGUAAAGGGCGCGUAGGCGGCCAGGCAAGUGGAAGGUGAAAUCCCUCGGCUUAACCGAGGAACUGCCCUCCAAACUGCUUGGCUUGAGACCGGGAGAGGUGAGUGGAAUUCCCAGUGUAGCGGUGAAAUGCGUAGAUAUUGGGAGGAACACCAGUGGCGAAGGCGGCUCACUGGACCGGUACUGACGCUGAUGCGCGAAAGCGUGGGGAGCAAACAGG